rnacentral:rRNA from 1 species
ACUCUGGUGGAAGUCCGAAGCGGUUCUGACGUGCAAAUCGAUCGUCUGACUUGGGUAUAGGGGCGAAAGACUAAUCGAACCAUCUAGUAGCUGGUUCCUUCCGAAAUAUAAUGUGCUGUGGUGCAUUUACUUGAUUGGCGCUUGGGGAUGUCCGACGCCCAUUUGGUUCCAGGGUUUUGAGGCCUCCUUGCUGGUCCCAAACUGCGUUAUCAUUUUUUGUCUUGGGCAUUCCCCUAUGGAUCCCGUGUAUUUAUUGGACCAAUGUGACUGAAAUGUACGGUAGCCUGCGACACAUGCUUUUCAAUUAGCUCGGGAAGCUGAUGCUCUCGAUCCCCCUCCCCAUGGAAAAGCCGACCAUCUAUCCGACCCUGAUUGAAACACGGACCAAGGAUACUAUCGUGUGCCCAAGUUUUUGGGAGCUAUAAACUUAAAAGCGAAAUGAAAGAAAAUGACUCUUUAGAGGCUGAUGUGCAAUCUUGUAAAAAAAUGUAUCAUGGCCCCAUUCUAACUGUUUACAGUACGGUGGCGGAAGAGCGUACGCUGGGAGACCCGAAAGAUGGUGAACUAUUCCUGAGCAGGACGAAGCCAGAGGAAACUCUGGUGGAAGUCCGAAGCGGUUCUGACGUGCAAAUCGAUCGUCUGACUUGGGUAUAGGGGCGAAAGACUAAUCGAACCAUCUAGUAGCUG